GGUCCCAAAGUCAUGGUUAAGUGGGAAACGAUGUGGGAAGGCCCAGACAGCCAGGAUGUUGGCUUAGAAGCAGCCAUCAUUUAAAGAAAGCGUAAUAGCUCACUGGUCGAGUCGGCCUGCGCGGAAGAUGUAACGGGGCUAAACCAUGCACCGAAGCUGCGGCAGCGACGCUGAUGCGUUGUUGGGUAGGGGAGCGUUCUGUAAGCCUGUGAAGGUGGCCUGUGAGGGUUGCUGGAGGUAUCAGAAGUGCGAAUGCUGACAUAAGUAACGAUAAAGCGGGUGAAAAGCCCGCUCGCCGGAAGACCAAGGGUUCCUGUCCAACGUUAAUCGGGGCAGGGUGAGUCGACCCCUAAGGCGAGGCCGAAAGGCGUAGUCGAUGGGAAACGGGUUAAUAUUCCCGUACUUGGUGUUACUGCGAAGGGGGGACGGAGAAGGCUAUGUUGGCCGGGCGACGGUUGUCCCGGUUUAAGCGUGUAGGUGUGUGUUCCAGGUAAAUCCGGUUCACUUUAACACUGAGGCGUGAUGACGAGGCACUACGGUGCUGAAGCAACAAAUGCCCUGCUUCCAGGAAAAGCCUCUAAGCAUCAGGUAACAUCAAAUCGUACCCCAAACCGACACAGGUGGUCAGGUAGAGAAUACCAAGGCGCUUGAGAGAACUCGGGUGAAGGAACUAGGCAAAAUGGUGCCGUAACUUCGGGAGAAGGCACGCUGACAC
rnacentral:rRNA from 1 species